rnacentral:rRNA from 1 species
AUUGAACGCUAGCGGGAUGCUUUACACAUGCAAGUCGAGCGAGCGGCGGACGGGUGAGUAAUGUAUGGGGACUGCCCGAUAGAGGGGGAUAACUCCUGGAAACGGUAGCUAAUACCGCAUACUAUCGGAUAACCCAUAUGGGAUUAGCUAGUCGGUGGGGUAAUGGCUCACCUAGGCGACGCUCCCUCGCUGGUCUGAGAGGAUGAUCAGACACACUGGGACUGAGACACGGCCCAGACUCCUACGGAGGCAGCAGUGGGGAAUAUUGCACAAUGGGCGCAAGCCUGAUGCAGCCAUGCCGCGUGUAUGAAGAAGGCCCUAGGGUUGUAAAGUACUUGCAGUCGGGAGGCGUUACCGACAGAAGAAGCACCGGCUAACUCCGUGCCAGCCGCCGCGGUAAUAC